rnacentral:rRNA from 1 species
GGGGCAUGGCGGCAGCCUACCAUGCAAGUCGAACGGUAGCACAGAGAGCUUGCUCUCGGGUGACGAGUGGCGGACGGGUGAGUAAUGUCUGGGAAACUGCCUGAUGGAGGGGGAUAACUACUGGAAACGGUAGCUAAUACCGCAUAAUGUCGCAAGACCAAAGAGGGGGACCUUCGGGCCUCUUGCCAUCAGAUGUGCCCAGAUGGGAUUAGCUAGUAGGUGGGGUAACGGCUCACCUAAGCAACGAUCCCUAGCUGGUCUGAAAGGAUGACCAGCCACACUGGAACUGAGACACGGUCCACACUCCUACGGGAGGCAGCAGUGGGGAAUAUUGCACAAUGGGCGCAAGCCUGAUGCAGCCAUGCCGCGUGUAUGAAGAAGGCCUUCGGGUUGUAAAGU